GUGGUCUGUGAUCAGCAACAUUCACCAUCUUCCAUUUGAGUCUCACAAUUGUGAGAUUACCCCAUGCACUGCUCUGAGACCUA